UCUAUCUUUUGGGCGUAGUAGAAGUAUAAAAAUGAUGUUUUGAAUGUUGAUCCUUAGACAUUGUGCGGCGACACGUGUCUCCAGAAGCUUCUGUAAUAAAUGGACGUAUAACUACGGUAAUUGCCCUGACUCCCUGUGUUUUAUUCUCCUUUCCAACAAACCAACUCGGGGAAGUGUUAUACUUCAACAAUUUGGGGGCUCGUCCGGGAUUGGAAAGAGGAGAAGGAAUUCGAUCUUGUCCAGACAACCUACGCGAGAUUCACAGGUUCUGAGCCGGCUCAUGAUAAAGAAUUCACCAACAGAGUCGGAGAACGGAGGGACCUGCACCCGCUGGACCAGAACCUGCCCCAGGCGGAGUGGGUGUUGCUGAAGGUCAUCAAGCGAAAGUGGUCGGAGCCAAGGUGGAAGGGUCCUCAUCAGGUGGUGGAGAGAACGAGUCAUGCGGUCCGCCUGAGGGACAAAGGAGAGACGUGGUACCAUUGGAGUCAGUGUACACCAGCGCAGGAGCCAGGGAGGUCGCUGACGGACCUCAUCCAAACCGGAAAGGAGGAGCUUUCCCCAGCGUGGACGGAAGGAGGACCAACACCAGCCGGACCGGUGCCAGGAGCGGACCACAGGACACAGCAGGACCACGAGCGAGUGAAGGAGACAGAGGACGGCGCCAGGGGAAUAGACUCUUAGGGGAAAGAACUGAAAAAUACUGUAACUAAAGGGGGUAUAGGACACCGAGUGGCUCAUACCACUCGUACCAAGAUGACAGGGUUACAGAGAAAGGUCUGGGGAGAUGAUAGUAGAAUGAAGUAGUAUAUGGGAAUUGGUAGAAUAAUGAUGUGUGUUGUGUGUUGAUACAGGUUUCCCAGGUUGGCAUCGGGUCUUCAUUCCCCCAGCGAAGAGGUCAGCGACCCCACCUGAGGACACCUGUUUGAGGAAAUUUGGGGGAUUGAAUUUGACUAUGUCAAGGGGUCGCAUACGAGCAUUCUGGGAUAGAUAAUCCGCUGGAGGAAUGGCUGACCUCGAUGUUCGGCCAGUGGAAAGGUUUGAUAAUGUCUGUUCUUUUAUCGCUUUCUACAUUUGGUGCUAUAAUGGUUACUUG
ensembl:lncRNA